AGAGUUUGAUCCUGGCUCAGAACGAACGCUGGCGGCGUGCCUAACACAUGCAAGUCGAGCGAGAAAGCCCGCAAGGGUGAGUAAAGCGGCGAACGGGUGCGUAACACGUGGGUAAUCUGCCCUGGAGUCCGGAAUAACUCGCCGAAAGGCGUGCUAAUGCCGGAUGAGACCACGGGAGCUCCGGCUCCUGCGGGAAAAGGUGGCCUCUGUAUACAAGCUAUCACUCCAGGAUGAGCCCGCGGCCCAUCAGCUCGUUGGCGGGGUAACGGCCCACCAAGGCUACGACGGGUAGCUGGUCUGAGAGGACGAUCAGCCACACUGGAACUGAGACACGGUCCAGACUCCUACGGGAGGCAGCAGUGGGGAAUCUUGCGCAAUGGGCGAAAGCCUGACGCAGCAACGCCGCGUGGAGGAUGAAGGCCUUCGGGUCGUAAACUCCUGUCGAUGGGGACGAAGUCCUGAAAGGGAUUGACUGUACCCGUUGAGGAAGCCACGGCUAACUCCGUGCCAGCAGCCGCGGUAAUACGGAGGUGGCAAGCGUUGUUCGGAAUUACUGGGCGUAAAGGGCGCGUAGGCGGCCUGACAAGUCAGAUGUGAAAGCCCCGGGCUCAACCCGGGAAUUGCAUCUGAAACUGUUUGGCUUGAGUUCUGGAGGGGAUGGUGGAAUUCCCAGUGUAGCGGUGAAAUGCGUAGAUAUUGGGAGGAACACCUGCGGCGAAGGCGGCCAUCUGGACAGUGACUGACGCUGAGGCGCGAAAGCUAGGGGAGCGAACGGGAUUAGAUACCCCGGUAGUCCUAGCUGUAAACGAUGGGCACUUGGUGUUGGGGGUAUUGAGUCCCUCGGUGCCGGAGCUAACGCGAUAAGUGCCCCGCCUGGGGAGUACGGUCGCAAGACUGAAACUCAAAGGAAUUGACGGGGGCCCGCACAAGCGGUGGAGCAUGUGGUUCAAUUCGACGCAACGCGAAGAACCUUACCGAGGCUUGAACUGUAGCUGCUACACUUGGAAACAGGUGGUUCUCUUCGGAGACGGCUAUAGAGGUGCUGCAUGGCUGUCGUCAGCUCGUGUCGUGAGAUGUUGGGUUAAGUCCCGCAACGAGCGCAACCCUUACUCUUAGUUGCCAUCAGGUAAAGCUAGGCACCCUAAGAGAACUGUCGGCGAGAAGCCGGAGGAAGGUGGGGAUGACGUCAAGUCCUCAUGGCCCUUACGUCUCGGGCUACACACGUGCUACAAUGGCUGGUACAAAGGGUUGCCAACCCGCGAGGGGGAGCUAAUCCCAAAAAGCCGGUCUCAGUUCGGAUUGCAGUCUGCAACUCGACUGCAUGAAGUUGGAAUCGCUAGUAAUCGCAGAUCAGCAUGCUGCGGUGAAUACGUUCCCGGGCCUUGUACACACCGCCCGUCACAUCACGAAAGUGGGUUGUACUAGAAAUCGCCGGGCUAACCCGCAAGGGGGGCAGGCACUUAAGGUAUGAUCCAUGAUUGGGGUGAAGUCGUAACAAGGUAACC
rnacentral:rRNA from 1 species